rnacentral:rRNA from 1 species
CCCUUAGAUGUUCUGGGCCGCACGCGCGCUACACUGUUCGACGCAGCGAGUCUUAACCUUGACCGAAAGGUUUGGGUAAUCUUCAGCAAAGUCGAACGCGAUGGGGAUCGAUCAUUGCAAUUAUUGAUCGUGAACGAGGAAUUCCUAGUAAGUGCAAGUCAUCAGCUUGCGCUGAUUACGUCCCUGCCCUUUGUACACACCGCCCGUCGCUACUACCGAUUGAAUGGUUUAGUGAGAUCUCUGGAUUGACGCUGGCUAGGGGGCGACCCUUGGCCAGACUGCUCGAGAAACUGCUCAAACUUGAUCAUUUAGAGGAAGUAAAAGUCGUAACA